GAUGAACGCUGGCGGCGUGCCUAAUACAUGCAAGUCGAGCGAACAGACGAGGAGCUUGCUCCUUUGACGUUAGCGGCGGACGGGUGAGUAACACGUAGGUAACCUACCUAUAAGACUGGGAUAACUUCGGGAAACCGGAGCUAAUACCGGAUAAUAUUUCGAACCGCAUGGUUCGAUAGUGAAAGAUGGCUUUGCUAUCACUUAUAGAUGGACCUGCGCCGUAUUAGCUAGUUGGUAAGGUAACGGCUUACCAAGGCAACGAUACGUAGCCGACCUGAGAGAGUGAUCGGCCACACUGGAACUGAGACACGGUCAAGACUCCUAAGGGAGGCAGCAGUAGGGAAUCUUCCGCAAUGGGCGAAAGCCUGACGGAGCAACGCCGCGUGAGUGAUGAAGGUCUUCGGAUCGUAAAACUCUGUUAUUAGGGAAGAACAAACGUGUAAGUAACUGUGCACGUCUUGACGGUACCUAAUCAGAAAGCCACGGCUAACUACGUG
rnacentral:rRNA from 1 species